UACAGGGGGGGCAAGCGUUGUUCGGAAUUACUGGGCGUAAAGGGCUCGUAGGUGGCCAACUAAGUCAGACGUGAAAUCCCUCAGCUUAACUGGGGAACUGCGUCUGAUACUGGACGGCUUGAGUUUGUGAGAGGGAUGCGGAAUUCCAGGUGUAGCGGUGAAAUGCGUAGAUAUCUGGAGGAACACCGGUGGCGAAGGCGGCAUCCUGGACCAACACUGACACUGAGGAGCGAAAGCCAGGGGAGCAAACGGG
rnacentral:rRNA from 1 species